AGAGUUUGAUCCUGGCUCAGGACGAACGCUGGCGGCGUGCUUAACACAUGCAAGUCGAACGGAAAGGUCUCUUCGGAGAUACUCGAGUGGCGAACAGGUGAGUAACACGUGGGUGAUCUGCCCUGCACUUUGGGAUAAGCCUGGGAAACUGGGUCUAAUACCGGAUAGGACCGCGCCAUGCAUGUGGUGUGGUGGAAAGCUAUUUGCGGUGUGGGAUGGGCCCGCGGCCUAUCAGCUUGUUGGUGGGGUGAUGGCCUACCAAGGCGACGACGGGUAGCCGGCCUGAGAGGGUGUCCGGCCACACUGGGACUGAGAUACGGCCCAGACUCCUACGGGAGGCAGCAGUGGGGAAUAUUGCACAAUGGGCGCAAGCCUGAUGCAGCGACGCCGCGUGGGGGAUGACGGCCUUCGGGUUGUAAACCUCUUUCACCAUCGGCGA
rnacentral:rRNA from 1 species